GCAUGAACUUAGCUUGCUAAGUUUGAUGGCGACCGGCGCACGGGUGAGUAACACGUAUCCAACCUGCCGAUGACUCGGGGAUAGCCUUUCGAAAGAAAGAUUAAUACCCGAUGGCAUAGUUCUUCCGCAUGGUAGAACUAUUAAAGAAUUUCGGUCAUCGAUGGGGAUGCGUUCCAUUAGGUUGUUGGCGGGGUAACGGCCCACCAAGCCUUCGAUGGAUAGGGGUUCUGAGAGGAAGGUCCCCCACAUUGGAACUGAGACACGGUCCAAACUCCUACGGGAGGCAGCAGUGAGGAAUAUUGGUCAAUGGACGAGAGUCUGAACCAGCCAAGUAGCGUGAAGGAUGACUGCCCUAUGGGUUGUAAACUUCUUUUAUACGGGAAUAAAGUGAGGCACGUGUGCCUUUUUGUAUGUACCGUAUGAAUAAGGAUCGGCUAACUCCGUGCCAGCAGCCGCGGUAAUACGGAGGAUCCGAGCGUUAUCCAGAUUUAUUGGGUUUAAAGGGAGCGUAGGCGGACGCUUAAGUCAGUUGUGAAAGUUUGCGGCUCAACCGUAAAAUUGCAGUUGAUACUGGGUGUCUUGAGUACAGUAGAGGCAGGCGGAAUUCGUGGUGUAGCGGUGAAAUGCUUAGAUAUCACGAAGACUCCGAUUGCGAAGGCAGCCUGCUGGACUGUAACUGACGCUG
rnacentral:rRNA from 1 species